rnacentral:tRNA from 2 species
AAGGCCUUAGCUUAAUUAAAGUGUCUGUUUUGCAUACAGGAAGAUGUGGGUUAGUACCCUGCAGGUCUUA